GGGUUGUGAGGUUAAGCGACUAAGCGUACACGGUGGAUGCCCUGGCAGUCAGAGGCGAUGAAGGGCGUGCUAAUCUGCGAUAAGCGCCGGUAAGGUGAUAUGAACCGUUAUAACCGGCGAUACCCGAAUGGGGAAACCCAGUGUGACUCGUCACACUAUCAUUAACUGAAUCCAUAGGUUAAUGAGGCGAACCGGGGGAACUGAAACAUCUAAGUACCCCGAGGAAAAGAAAUCAACCGAGAUUCCCCCAGUAGCGGCGAGCGAACGGGGAGGAGCCCAGAGCCUGAAUCAGCAUGUGUGUUAGUGGAAGCGUCUGGAAAGGCGCGCGAUACAGGGUGACAGCCCCGUACACAAAAGCGCAUGUGCUGUGAGCUCGAUGAGUAGGGCGGGACACGUGGUAUCCUGUCUGAAUAUGGGGGGACCAUCCUCCAAGGCUAAAUACUCCUGACUGACCGAUAGUGAACCAGUACCGUGAGGGAAAGGCGAAAAGAACCCCGGCGAGGGGAGUGAAAAAGAACCUGAAACCGUGUACGUACAAGCAGUGGGAGCACAGGUUUACCUGUGUGACUGCGUACCUUUUGUAUAAUGGGUCAGCGACUUAUAUUCUGUAGCAAGGUUAACCGUAUAGGGGAGCCGUAGGGAAACCGAGUCUUAACCGGGCGUUAAGUUGCAGGGUAUAGACCCGAAACCCGGUGAUCUAGCCAUGGGCAGGUUGAAGGUUGGGUAACACUAACUGGAGGACCGAACCGACUAAUGUUGAAAAAUUAGCGGAUGACCUGUGGCUGGGGGUGAAAGGCCAAUCAAACCGGGAGAUAGCUGGUUCUCCCCGAAAGCUAUUUAGGUAGCGCCUCGUGAAUUCAUCUCCGGGGGUAGAGCACUGUUUCGGCUAGGGGGCCAUCCCGGCUUACCAACCCGAUGCAAACUGCGAAUACCGGAGAAUGUUAUCACGGGAGACACACGGCGGGUGCUAACGUCUGUCGUGAAGAGGGAAACAACCCAGACCGCCAGCUAAGGUCCCAAAGUCAUGGUUAAGUGGGAAACGAUGUGGGAAGGCCCAGACAGCCAGGAUGUUGGCUUAGAAGCAGCCAUCAUUUAAAGAAAGCGUAAUAGCUCACUGGUCGAGUCGGCCUGCGCGGAAGAUGUAACGGGGCUAAACCAUGCACCGAAGCUGCGGCAGCGACGCUGAUGCGUUGUUGGGUAGGGGAGCGUUCUGUAAGCCUGUGAAGGUGGCCUGUGAGGGUUGCUGGAGGUAUCAGAAGUGCGAAUGCUGACAUAAGUAACGAUAAAGCGGGUGAAAAGCCCGCUCGCCGGAAGACCAAGGGUUCCUGUCCAACGUUAAUCGGGGCAGGGUGAGUCGACCCCUAAGGCGAGGCCGAAAGGCGUAGUCGAUGGGAAACGGGUUAAUAUUCCCGUACUUGGUGUUACUGCGAAGGGGGGACGGAGAAGGCUAUGUUGGCCGGGCGACGGUUGUCCCGGUUUAAGCGUGUAGGUGUGUGUUCCAGGUAAAUCCGGUUCACUUUAACACUGAGGCGUGAUGACGAGGCACUACGGUGCUGAAGCAACAAAUGCCCUGCUUCCAGGAAAAGUCUCUAAGCAUCAGGUAACAUCAAAUCGUACCCCAAACCGACACAGGUGGUCAGGUAGAGAAUACCAAGGCGCUUGAGAGAACUCGGGUGAAGGAACUAGGCAAAAUGGUGCCGUAACUUCGGGAGAAGGCACGCUGACACGUAGGUGAAGUGAUUUACUCAUGGAGCUGAAGUCAGUCGAAGAUACCAGCUGGCUGCAACUGUUUAUUAAAAACACAGCACUGUGCAAACACGAAAGUGGACGUAUACGGUGUGACGCCUGCCCGGUGCCGGAAGGUUAAUUGAUGGGGUCAGCGCAAGCGAAGCUCCUGAUCGAAGCCCCGGUAAACGGCGGCCGUAACUAUAACGGUCCUAAGGUAGCGAAAUUCCUUGUCGGGUAAGUUCCGACCUGCACGAAUGGCGUAAUGAUGGCCAGGCUGUCUCCACCCGAGACUCAGUGAAAUUGAACUCGCUGUGAAGAUGCAGUGUACCCGCGGCAAGACGGAAAGACCCCGUGAACCUUUACUAUAGCUUGACACUGAACAUUGAGCCUUGAUGUGUAGGAUAGGUGGGAGGCUUUGAAGCGUGGACGCCAGUCUGCAUGGAGCCGGCCUUGAAAUACCACCCUUUAAUGUUUGAUGUUCUAACGUGGACCCGUGAUCCGGGUUGCGGACAGUGUCUGGUGGGUAGUUUGACUGGGGCGGUCUCCUCCUAAAGAGUAACGGAGGAGCACGAAGGUUGGCUAAUCCUGGUCGGACAUCAGGAGGUUAGUGCAAUGGCAUAAGCCAGCUUGACUGCGAGCGUGACGGCGCGAGCAGGUGCGAAAGCAGGUCAUAGUGAUCCGGUGGUUCUGAAUGGAAGGGCCAUCGCUCAACGGAUAAAAGGUACUCCGGGGAUAACAGGCUGAUACCGCCCAAGAGUUCAUAUCGACGGCGGUGUUUGGCACCUCGAUGUCGGCUCAUCACAUCCUGGGGCUGAAGUAGGUCCCAAGGGUAUGGCUGUUCGCCAUUUAAAGUGGUACGCGAGCUGGGUUUAGAACGUCGUGAGACAGUUCGGUCCCUAUCUGCCGUGGGCGCUGGAGAACUGAGGGGGGCUGCUCCUAGUACGAGAGGACCGGAGUGGACGCAUCACUGGUGUUCGGGUUGUCAUGCCAAUGGCACUGCCCGGUAGCUAAAUGCGGAAGAGAUAAGUGCUGAAAGCAUCUAAGCACGAAACUUGCCCCGAGAUGAGUUCUCCCUGAGACUUAGAGUCUCCUGAAGGAACGUUGAAGACGACGACGUUGAUAGGCCGGGUGUGUAAGCGCAGCGAUGCGUUGAGCUAACCGGUACUAAUGAACCGUGAGGCUUAACCUUACAACGCCGAAG
rnacentral:rRNA from 2 species